GAUUAAGAGAAGUAAUUCUACUUGAUGAUCUAACAAAGCCAUCUGGGACCCCCUGAGUGCCAUCUUGAUGCAGUUCAGAAUUUUGUCUCCUGAGUGACUCUGUCACUCCAGUUUUUUGCAAGGUUCCCAGGAGGAAGGCGUCACCUCUACAGUCCAGUGGCUUCAGUCACCAUCACUGAGAAGCCAACGCCACUACAAUUACAUCCCUCCUCCCUUGCCCUUGGAAAUGGAAACACUUUACUUGGUUUUACUAACACAACAUAACAUUUGUUACCCCCCCGCCAAUCAUCUUCGUGGUGACCAUGAUCGAACUGAAUUCCAAUAAACCAUCUUAAGACA